CAACCUAGAUAGCAUGCAGUCUAAGUACGAGCUCCCGUACAGUGAAACUGCGAAUGGCUCAUUAAAUCAGUUAUGGUUCAUUUGAUCGUACGUGUUACUUGGAUAACUGUGGAAAUGCUAGAGCUAAUACAUGCAUAAAGCGCCGACCUCGCGGGAGGCGUGCUUUUAUCAUACCAAAAACCGACCGGGCUUCGGCUCGUCGCUUUGGUGACUCUGGAUAACUUCGCGGAUCGCACGGUCGAGCACCGGCGACGGAUCAUUCAAGUGUCUGCCCUAUCAACUUUCGUCGGUAGGGUAUCGGCCUACCGAGGUUCUUACUGGUAACGGGGAAUCAAGGUUCGAUUCCUGAGAGGGAGCCUGAGAAACGGCUACCACAUCCAAGGAAGGCAACAGGCGCGCAAAUUACCCAUUCCCGACGCGGGGAGGUAGUGACGAAAAAUAACAAUACAGGACUCUCAACCAGGCCCUGUAAUUGGAAUGAGUACACUUUAAAACCUUUAACGAGUAUCCAUUGGAGGGCAAGUCUGGUGCCAGCAGCCGCGGUAAUUCCAGCUCCAAAAGUGUAUAUUUAAGUUGCUGCGGUUAACAAGCUCGUAGUUGGAUUUUGGGCGCAGGCGGCCGGUCCGUCGCAAGGCGUGCACUGGGCGUCCUGGCCCUACCUACCGUACAACGCCGGUGCUCUUGACUGAGUGUCGGCGGCGGGCCGGGACGUUUACUUAGCAAACAUUAGAGAGUUCUAAUGCAAUGUUGAUCGCCUGAAUGAUCGUCGCAUGCAAUACUGCGAUUACGACCUGUGAUCCUAUCUCAUGGGUCUUACUUGAAUGCGUCGACGGUGAUCAGUAGUGACAGUCAGGGGGCAUACGAGCUGAGCCUUUCCUACUGUCCACUUCAUGGGAUCAUCUCAGAGCAUCGCUGAUGACUGAUACUCAGCAUGUUUCCUAAUAUGAUGUUAAUGACGACGAUCGAUAUUACUGUACAUACUAGUCUGACUCGACUGAUCGAACUAUGAUCUGUACAUAAUAGCGAGGUCUGUCGCUCUGUACCGACUCUCGGAUACCAGAAUUAGCUGCGCGAGAGCUAGUACAUAGCAUGCCACAGUCGAUAGGACUCAAUUGAGCUCGCACGAUUACAUCGAUGAUCGACCUGCAUGACCAGUGCACUG
rnacentral:rRNA from 1 species